UGCGUAUGUAAUGGUGGCUGAUGGUUCA
rnacentral:piRNA from 2 species